rnacentral:rRNA from 1 species
GUGGGGAAUUUUGGACAAUGGGCGCAAGCCUGAUCCAGCAAUGCCGCGUGCAGGAAGAAGGCCUUCGGGUUGUAAACUGCUUUUGUACGGAACGAAACGGUCCUGGCUAAUAUCCGGGGCUAAUGACGGUACCGUAAGAAUAAGCACCGGCUAACUACGUGCCAGCAGCCGCGGUAAUACGUAGGGUGCGAGCGUUAAUCGGAAUUACUGGGCGUAAAGCGUGCGCAGGCGGUGCUGUAAGACAGGCGUGAAAUCCCCGGGCUCAACCUGGGAAUUGCGCUUGUGACUGCAGUGCUGGAGUGCGGCAGAGGGGGAUGGAAUUCCGCGUGUAGCAGUGAAAUGCGUAGAUAUGCGGAGGAACACCGAUGGCGAAGGCAAUCCCCUGGGCCUGCACUGACGCUCAUGCACGAAAGCGUGGGGAGCAAAAGGGAUUAGAAACCCGGUAGUCC